GGGGAAUCUUGCGCAAUGGGCGAAAGCCUGACUCAGCAACGCCGCGUGGAGGAUGAAGGCCCUUGGGUUGUAAACUCCUGUCGGCUGGGAAGAAAUCUUCCGGGGCUAAUACCUCCGGGGGUUGACUGUACCAGCAAAGGAAGCCCCGGCUAACUCUGUGCCAGCAGCCGCGGUAAUACAGAGGGGGCUAGCGUUAUUCGGAAUUACUGGGCGUAAAGGGCGCGUAGGCGGCCCGCUAAGUCGAACGUGAAAUCCCUGGGCUCAACCCAGGAACUGCGUCCGAUACUGGCAGGCUUGAAUCCGGGAGAGGGAUGCGGAAUUCCAGGUGUAGCGGUGAAAUGCGUAGAUAUCUGGAGGAACACCGGUGGCGAAGGCGGCAUCCUGGACCGGUAUUGACGCUGAGGCGCGAAAGCCAGGGGAGCAAAC
rnacentral:rRNA from 1 species